AAACUUAAAUGAAUUGACGGGACCCGCACAAGCAGCGGAGCGUGUGGUUUAAUUCGUUGCUACACGAAGAACCUUACCUGGGUUUGACAUAUAGGUUGUAGGGAACUGAAAGGGACCGACCCUUCGGGAGCCUAUACAGGUGUUGCAUGGCUGUCGUCAGCUCGUGUCGUGAGAUGUUCGGUUAAGUCCGCUAACGAGCGCAACCCUCGUCGUAUGUUAUAUGUGUCAUACGAGACUGCCGGUAAAAAGCCGGAGGAAGGUGAGGAUGAUGUCAAGUCAGCAUGACCUUUAUAUCCAGGGCUACACACACGCUACAAUGGUCUGUACAAUGGGUAGCCAAGCCGCGAGGCGGAGCCAAUCCUGAAAGCAGGCCGCAGUUCAGAUUGCAGUCUGCAACUCGACUGCAUGAAGCCGGAGUUGCUAGUAACCGCAGGUCAGCAGUACUGCGGUGAAUACGUUCCCGGGUCUU
rnacentral:rRNA from 1 species